CCAUCCAAACAAGCUGUUAAUUUCUGCCCUAUUUUCUUUUGGGUUCUCUACAUGAUUUUUAACUUUGCAAUCAAUCGAGUGGUAAAACUGUGCUUUUAAACUCUAAGCAUGCUGAGUAUUGAACUUCUGUGGUUUUCUGUGUUCUAUCAGUACUUUUUUUAUUUUGCAAUUUCAUGGCUGAUGUAUGCUAAAAUCGAAGGCUGCCAUAUUGUAACACCGAGCAUAUUAGCUUUUCUACUUCGUUUUUGCUCUUCUUACUUCUUCACGAAUCUCUUUUCUUCUCAUCCUCCUUGGCUGCUCCGUUUGUUAUUAUCCAUGAAGUGUUGCAUGUAGGCAACUUUUUUCACUUUAAAUUAUCGUUAAAACUUUUGGGAUUUUAACCUAAUUUUUGAAAUUGGAAUUUUAAGAACUCUGAUUUCAUAUAUGUACCAAACAAUUGAGAGUGUUGAAGUUCACACAUGAAUAUUGACGAUUGAGUCCGAAACCUCUUCUCUAGCAGAGAUUAGAUUCCGACCUAAUCGCCGGCAUAAUAUCUUUCGAUUUUCUUUCUUUUUCAUAUAUAUCUGGAUUCUUCAGUUCUCUCUUAGCAAAUCCUGAUUUCUUCCAAUUUUGAGUUUUUUUUCUCUUCUUUAGUAGUUUACGAACUUUGAUAUUUGUCUGAGAAAAAAAGGGACUUGGAGAAAUACGAGUAUGGUAAUUUAGGGAUUUCAAUAUUUGUUUGGUGUAGUUUCAGGUGUAAUUUCAAAUUUCUCCUCUUUAGUGCAGUUUGUCUGUAACCCUCAAUUGUAGUUCUCACUUCAGUUAAAUCUUGGGAAGUCGAUAUGAAAGAGUAAAAGACCUGGAAAGCCUCCUCUUUUAUAUGGAUAAGCUGGUUUGCCCGAAGGUUUUUGUCUUGCAACAUUGGAUCAAAGGUUAACUUUUAAAGCUCGAAGGUCAGUCAUUCUCAUCAGACCAAUAGGAGGAAUAUUGUGAUACUUCAUCUGUACUUGCAUUACUCGACAAGGGCAUUGCUUCUGCUAAAUUAUGGAACAACUAUGAGGUCCUUGGUCUUUCCUGGCGUCUAGAACGAAGUUGACAUUUACGUGCAAGAUGUUUGGUCAUGAUGGACCACUCAAUUUAGCUUUUUCAGUCUCCUAUUGGGUAUUUAUCGAAGAUCAUAUCGGAUUUUCAUUCUUAUGAUUUCCAAAGGCCUAAGAGUGCUAUCCUGUUGAAAGAUGUUAGGAAUGGUUUUCAAUUUGGAAGACUCCCGAGCACCAACAGGAACACAUCUUCUGACGAGGAAGAAGAGCUUGGAGGCAGAAGAUGAUGAUAGAUGAAAUUCAGUGGCCCUGCUAAAAGAUAAGUUUUUAAUGUUUUUUUGGAUGAUAGAUAAAAGAUAACAUGAUAAUUUCAACGGAUGUCUGCUUUUCAGGGAAAUAAUCCGAACGAAAGAAUUAGACUAAGUGAGAUGCGUCGUAACAUAAAAGGAAGCAACAUAUUGAUGGAAGUGCUUGAUGCCAAGGUCUCAGGAUUCAGGCUUAUAAAGGCCUCUUGAGAACAAUAUCCAUUCAAAGUUAGAUGAAAGGCAAUUUUGAAUGUUUUUAUGCCUUGAUGUUACAUGUGUUAUUCAGCAGUUGGCAUGUGGUAUUGUCUA